GACGAACGCUGGCGGCGUGCCUAAUACAUGCAAGUAGAACGCACAGUUUAUACCGUAGCUUGCUACACCAUAGACUGUGAGUUGCGAACGGGUGAGUAACGCGUAGGUAACCUGCCUGGUAGCGGGGGAUAACUAUUGGAAACGAUAGCUAAUACCGCAUAAUAUUAAUUAUUGCAUGAUAAUUAAUUGAAAGGUGCAAUUGCACCACUACCAGAUGGACCUGCGUUGUAUUAGCUAGUAGGUGAGGUAACGGCUCACCUAGGCGACGAUACAUAGCCGACCUGAGAGGGUGAUCGGCCACACUGGGACUGGGACACGGCCCAGACUCCUACGGGAGGCAGCAGUAGGGAAUCUUCGGCAAUGGACGAAAGUCUGAACGAGCAACGCCGCGUGAGUGAAGAAGGUUUUCGGAUCGUAAAGCUCUGUUGUAAGAGAAGAACGGGUGUGAGAGUGGAAAGUUCACACUGUGACGGUAUCUUACCAGAAAGGGACGGCUAACUACGUG
rnacentral:rRNA from 1 species